UUCGACCCAAUAUCCAAUACUCUACCCCGUUUUGCUCUCUCACACUCGCAAAACUCGCAAAUUCUCUGGACCAAAAAUUCGCAACUUAGGUAAGGUAAGCUCUAUACUGGCUUCACUCUGUAUCUAUAGAGUCCAUAUUUGUUAAUUUGAAACUUUUUGCUAGAAAUAUUUUCUAUUUUGUUGUUCAUUUGGAUCAAUUAAAUGUAAACUUCUUUAAGCUGGCUCUGAAUUUUGACUUCGAAGAAAGAAAGAUUGGGCCUUGUUAGUUGUUUGUAUCCGAUUGAUUUUGGGUUUUAAAUAUUGAUUCAGUUUUUGUUUUAGGGUUGAUUUUCUUUUAUGUGUGAUUCUAUGUUUUGGGUAAUUUUGAGGAGUUGUGAUCAAGUAUUGAAGUGGAAUUUAAUGAUUGAGACAAGAGUGGUGAUUACUUCGAAAUUAGAGAGUAGGAAAUUUGAUUAUUUGGAUUGGAUGGUUGACCUCGAUUUUGGAAAUCAAAGCAUUGAUUGAUUGAGAUAAAAAAGGAAAAGUAAUUAAUUUUGGAUUAAGGUUUGGAAUCUUAGUGUUGG
rnacentral:lncRNA from 1 species